GGAAGCACUUACCUUUAACACCAGUAGCUACCCAUAAUGUGGACCCUGCCACUCAUGGUUGAUACAGGAAGCAUUUAUGUUGGGUUUCUUCCCCCCAACAUUUUUGCUGAAUCCCAUCCCUUGCACACCAGUGUGCUAACUGCCAUCAGGGCAUCCUCUUGUACUCCCCCAGACCCAGCUGUGCUUUGGAACAUCCUUAACAGGGAGGCCAUAACCACAUCAGAGAUCUGCAAAGCAUCUUGAUGUUGCACUUUCCGAAGAACAUUCUGUGAAAUGAGUAAGAGUUCAAGAUCAGUUGAUUCCAAAUCUCCCAAUCAGAACACUAUACCUUUUCUUUUUAAAAUCAAUUAAGUCCCUUGAUAUUUUUUAAUUUUGGGAAUGCCAAAUGUACUUUUUAUACACAAAAACAUUGACAGUACCAAUCAUCAGCAAUACAUUUUAACAUUUCUCCUGUUUCUCAAUUCAGAACAAACGUGAGCUGAUCCUCCGUUGUGCAGAAGGUCAUGUCGUCUCAAUUUCAUUUGUCUUACUAUCUGACAAAUCCCUGCUGGUAGCCUCCAUAGUCCAGUCUUACUGGAAUGAUAGUUAAAUUACUUCAGCUUUAGAGAAGGCCCUAUCACAUUAGAGCUCUUAUUCAUAAAACAAACAAAAAGCAACCCUUCCUAUAUCCUACCUAUUUACAGAUGACCUAGAAAUAAUCUUGAUAAAAUCAAACCAACCUGACUUCUCCCAUCAAACAUUCCUUCCUCACUCGUUUGUUUCAACUAAUGUCACUGACAUUACGUCAAACAGCAAAUGUUUCAAAAGAUGACGGUACAAAUUCAAGGCUUUAUUUUUAGCCAAGUGAACUAUAGCUGGGAACCAAAUCUGACUGAGCUAGGCUUGAAUAACCUAAUGAAAAACCAAGAGUUUUUUGGUUUUCAAAAUCAAAAAAACCAAAACCAUUCAAGCUGCCAACACAAAUGAGCUAUACAUCUGGAAGGAACCAUCACACAUUUAAGUAGUUUCCUUCUCUACACAGUGACAUUAGUUGAAACAAACAAGAGUGAGGAAGAGAGGUCUGAGGAGUGUAUGUUGAAUUAGGAGAAGUCAAGUUGGUUUGAUUUUAUCAAGAUUACAUCUAGACCAUCUGUAAAUAAGUAGGAUUUGAAUCUUUCUAGACAGACAGGUAAGGCAGGUGGGGAAUUCCUCUCCCAAUCGACCACAGACCAAAGCCUUCUGAGAACAGCUUCUGAUCCGCAUCAUCUAUACCAUUUUCGAGUUCUGUGUGUACACGAACUUGUUAUACUGAGAUACUAAUAAUUCUCUAAUCUGGAGUUAUUAAGUCAUAAGGCACCACCAUACCUGAAGAGUUGCGCAGAGUAAAGACUGAAGGUCAUUGAACUGGAUUCUAUCGGAUGUGCUCUGGAUAUGUGACUACAAAGAAAAUAAGAAAACAUACUCUACAUGAAAACCUUCCACUUUUGCUGGGACCAUUUAAUAAUCUUCCCUAAUACUAACAUAGGAAAGUAAACAACAGCAACAAAAAACCCAUAAUACAUAUAGUGUAACACAUAUAUGAGUAAACCAUGACAAGCAAUGCUAACGUUAAGGCGCAAUGUUUUUUGUAUAAGCUUUAUUAUCUUUCUGAGAAAAUAUAUACUUCAACACUAAAAAGACAAAACAGUCUGGAAAAUAGACCUAGGUGUCAAAAGUACUGCCCAAUUCCCACCCAUAGUCAGGGGCAUUCUUAGGUCUCACCUCCAUCUGAAGAACCUGUUGCAGUCGUUCCAUGAUGACCAAAGUCGUUUUCUGGACAGCAGGAUAACAAUCCUUGGCACUGUUUUUCACAAUUUCCAUCAGAGAUUCAUAUGCAGAACUCCUCAGGUUGUUCUGGUGUCCAUCAGGUCUGUAAAGAACACAGCGAAAAUCUUAAAGCCUCAACUGAAAAGGACAGGGAAGAACAUAGACGAUGUCUUGCCAAAAAUAAGAA
rnacentral:lncRNA from 1 species